rnacentral:rRNA from 1 species
GAUGAACGCUGGCGGCGUGCCUAACACAUGCAAGUCGAACGGAGAUUACGGACGGAAGUUUUCGGAUGGAAGACUGUAAUUCUUAGUGGCGGACGGGUGAGAAACGCGUGGGCAACCUGCCCUAUACAGGGGGAUAGCAGCUGGAAACGGCUGGUAAGACCGCAUAAGUCGGCGAGACCGCAUGGUUUUGCCGGGAAAUGAGCAAUCAGGUAUAGGAUGGGCCCGCGUCCGAUUAGCCAGUUGGCAGGGUAAAAGCCUACCAAAGCAACGAUCGGUAGCCGGACUGAGAGGUCGGACGGCCACAUUGGGACUGAGACACGGCCCAAACUCCUACGGGAGGCAGCAGUGGGGGAUAUUGCACAAUGGAGGAAACUCUGAUGCAGCGACGCCGCGUGAGUGAAGAAGUAUUUCGGUAUGUAAAGCUCUAUCAGCAGGGAAGAUGAUGACGGUACCUGACUAAGAAGCCCCGGCUAACUACGUG